rnacentral:rRNA from 1 species
GCAUAUCAAUAAGCGGGAGGAAAAGAAACUAACAAGGAUUCCCCUAGUAACUGCGAGUGAAGCGGGAAAAGCUCAAAUUUAAAAUCUGGUGGUCUUUGGCCAUCCGAGUUGUAAUCUAGAGAAGUGUUAUCCGCGCUGGACCGUGUACAAGUCUCCUGGAAUGGAGCGUCAUAGAGGGUGAGAAUCCCGUCUUUGACACGGACUACCAGGGCUUUGUGAUGCGCUCUCAAAGAGUCGAGUUGUUUGGGAAUGCAGCUCAAAAUGGGUGGUAAAUUCCAUCUAAAGCUAAAUAUUGGCGAGAGACCGAUAGCGAACAAGUACCGUGAGGGAAAGAUGAAAAGAACUUUGGAAAGAGAGUUAAACAGUACGUGAAAUUGCUGAAAGGGAAACGCUUGAAGUCAGUCGCGUUGUCUGGGGAUCAACCUUGCUUUUGCUGGGCGUACUUUCCAGAUGACGGGUCAGCAUCAAUUUUGACCGUUGGAUAAAGAUUAGAGGAAUGUGGCAUCUUCGGAUGUGUUAUAGCCUUUGGUUGUAUACAACGGUUGGGAUUGAGGAACUCAGCACGCCGCAAGGCCGGGUACUUGUACCACGUUCGUGCUUAGGAUGCUGGCAUAAUGGCUUUAAUCGACCCGUCUUUGAAACACGGACCAAGGAGUCUAACAUGCCUGCGAGUAUUUGGGUGGUAAACCCGAGUGCGUAAUGAAAGUGAAAGUUGAGAUCCUUGUCAUGGGGAGCAUCGACGCCCGGACCAGACCUUUUGUGACGGAUCUGCGGUAGAGCAUGUAUGUUGGGACCCGAAAGAUGGUGAACUAUGCCUGAAUAGGGUGAAGCCAGAGGAAACUCUGGUGGAGGCUCGUAGCGAUUCUGACGUGCAAAUCGAUCGUCAAAUUUGGGUAUAGGGGCGAAAGACUAAUCG